rnacentral:rRNA from 1 species
CUUGCUAAGGCUGAUGGCGACCGGCGCACGGGUGAGUAACACGUAUCCAACCUGCCGAUAACUCGGGGAUAGCCUUUCGAAAGAAAGAUUAAUAUCCGAUGGUAUAUUAAAACCGCAUGGUUUUACUAUUAAAGAAUUUCGGUUAUCGAUGGGGAUGCGUUCCAUUAGUUUGUUGGCGGGGUAACGGCCCACCAAGACUACGAUGGAUAGGGGUUCUGAGAGGAAGGUCCCCCACAUUGGAACUGAGACACGGUCCAA